rnacentral:rRNA from 1 species
UACGUAGGGUGCAAGCGUUGUCCGGAAUUAUUGGGCGUAAAGAGCGUGUAGGCGGCCCGAUUAGUCCGCUGUGAAAGUCCAGGGCUCAACCCUGGAAUGCCGGUGGAAACUGUCGAGCUAGAGUCCGGAAGAGGCGAGUGGAAUUCCUGGUGUAGCGGUGAAAUGCGCAGAUAUCAGGAGGAACACCAAUGGCGAAGGCAGCUCGCUGGGACGGUACUGACGCUGGAGACGCGAAAGCGUGGGGAGCAAACAGG